UAUACCUUGAGAGAAAGCUUUACAUGUAGCAGCCAUAUUUAAAAUAGUUAUAUAGUUAAAUAUUCUGGACACUUAUUCCAUAUUAAUCAGGUCAGUUACUAAUAUUUCUAAGUCUUUAAUAUUUGCACAGUAUUCCUUUAGUUUGAAUCUGAGAGAAAAUGUAUUUUGAAUAAGUCAGAAUGAUUGUGCAUGGAUGAUAGAUAUUUUAUUUUAAAGAAGUAUUUUCAUGAACUCAGAGCAAUAAUAUAUCAUAGAUAUAUUAAUGAUACAUGUAUUGGUACAGUUAUUUUAUUAUUAUAAAAGGUCCAAAGUAAUGUUUGCUGAACAUUAAACUUAUUGUUUAUAUAAAUGCUAUGCUGAUAUAGUUAGUUCAUUAGACUUAUGUAGGUUAUAUUUGUAUUUUUAACAGGACCAGAAUAUCUUCAUAUUCUAUUGAUCUGGUGAUGUUUCCAAAUACGGAGAUAGACCUUUGUACCAUAUACAUGGUAAGAUCAGUGUUACAUGUAUUUUUAGUUUACUGUAUUGUCUGUGUUUGUCUAUUUAAUUUUAGUUCAGUAUAUGUAUUGUUUGUGUCUUGUGAAUAGUAGUUACCUGUAUGUCAAUUAUUACAUGUAAACAUUAUAGUAAGAAAUUGUAGUUCAUUCAUAAAUCUAUGAAUGAGUAGCGUAAUAUAAUUGGACAUAUGUAGUAAUUAAUCCUGACUUGGUUUAUAAUUGAGUUUGAUUGAAUUCAUAUAAUUAUAAUAUAUACACUUAAAUAGUAUUGGUUGUAUUCUUACAGAAAAGAGCUAGUUUAUCGUAUUUUAUACAUGUACUUUCCGUUUUAUGAUUUAGAGUUAUAUCCCUUUGUACACUGUACUGUCUAUGUAUUUACGUUUUGUUAUUUGUGUACUUUCAGGGUUGAUUUAUUUAUGUCGUAUGAAUAAAUGCAUCUUAAACUUGACGAAUCCUUUUAUUCUGUCCAAGAACCCUAUUACAUUUGGCGCCCACUAGUAGGUUAGACGUUCAACGACAUAUUUCCUGUUGGAGCCUCACUGAAGGUCAGGAUCUAGGACGUGACAUCCAUCGGAAGAUUGGAAAAAUCAGUCGAAAAUAUUCAACACGUUGGUGAAAAUCGUUUAUUGUACAGACUAUUUGCUGUUGUAUACAUUGUUUAUGUAAUGAAAUGGUGAGAAUAUACACAUAGUUUACACUCUAUAUAAAUAUUUUGUAAAUAUUUGGUAUCAGAAAGCC
rnacentral:lncRNA from 1 species